AGGAAUAUUGGUCAAUGGCCGAGAGGCUGAACCAGCCAAGUCGCGUGAAGGAAGAAGGAUCUAUGGUUUGUAAACUUCUUUUAUAAGGGAAUAAAGUCACCCACGUGUGGGUGUUUGUAUGUACCUUAUGAAUAAGCAUCGGCUAACUCCGUGCCAGCAGCCGCGGUAAUACGGAGGAUGCGAGCGUUAUCCGGAUUUAUUGGGUUUAAAGGGAGCGUAGACGGGCCGUUAAGUCAGCUGUGAAAGUUUGAGGCUCAACCUUAAAAUUGCAGUUGAUACUGGCGUCCUUGAGUACGGUUGAGGCAGGCGGAAUUCGUGGUGUAGCGGUGAAAUGCUUAGAUAUCACGAAGAACCCCGAUUGCGAAGGCAGCCUGCUAAACCGCCACUGACGUUGAGGCUCGAAAGUGUGGGUAUCAAACAGGAUUAGAUACCCUGGUAGUCCACACGGUAAACGAUGGAUACUCGCUGUUGGCGAUAGACUGUCAGCGGCUUAGCGAAAGCGUUAAGUAUCCCACCUGGGGAGUACGCCGGCAACGGUGAAACUCAAAGGAAUUGACGGGGGCCCGCACAAGCGGAGGAACAUGUGGUUUAAUUCGAUGAUACGCGAGGAACCUUACCCGGGCUUGAAUUGCAGACGAAUUGCUUGGAAACAGGCAAGCCGCAAGGCGUCUGUGAAGGUGCUGCAUGGUUGUCGUCAGCUCGUGCCGUGAGGUGUCGGCUUAAGUGCCAUAACGAGCGCAACCCUCGUGUCCAGUUACUAGCAGGUUAUGCUGAGGACUCUGGACAGACUGCCAUCGUAAGAUGUGAGGAAGGUGGGGAUGACGUCAAAUCAGCACGGCCCUUACGUCCGGGGCUACACACGUGUUACAAUGGGGGGUACAGCAGGCAGCUACCGGGCGACCGGAUGCCAAUCCCGAAAGCCUCUCUCAGUUCGGACUGGAGUCUGCAACCCGACUCCACGAAGCUGGAUUCGCUAGUAAUCGCGCAUCAGCCACGGCGCGGUGAAUACGUUCCCG
rnacentral:rRNA from 1 species